AUUAUCUUAUUUGUUUUGAAUGCACCGCUCAACUCGCAUGGUCCCACGUUGGGUACCUAGUUCUCAGCAGCCAAUCAGAAGCUACGCAGGCCACGCUCAGCUUGUCGGCUCGGAGAGGAAGUGCAGUCGCGUUGCUCUUCCGUUUUUUUUUCGGAUCUCGGCCCGGGAAGCGAGGGCAGCUGUGUGUUAAGGAGAAGAGGAAAACUAGAGAAAAAAACCCAGAGUGAAACCUGUGAAAAAGGAAAAAAAGAGUCGGAGCACUUACCCAGUGGAGGUCUGGAGCCAAGUGGCUGAACGAAGGAGAGUUACUACGGUAAGACGUGUUAAUUAUCCGAUGAAAAGAUAGCUUGGCGCUUACCGUCGGUGUCCAUGCUAAUGCUAGCUCUGUGCUUAGCAGGCUAACUGCUUGCCUGUCCUCCGGCGAGCUGCUACGAGGUUCGGCAUCGGCAUGCUCCACCUUGAUACACAGAGCAACGGUCAGGUUUUUUAGAGGACUGAGAGUCUGAGGUUCAGGACAACUUCCUGCUGUGAAAGAUGGCGAGCCAACUACCCUGAUUGAAGAUUAGCACCGAGGCGAUAUUCACGUACACACUCAUUCACACAAAUAAUACACUCACAUUACACUACAAGGAACCUUGGAAUCAGGUGAACUUUCAACAACUCCUUUUAUUUUAAGGGCCCCAACAGACAUUUUUGUUUUAAGUGUGCACACUACUUUUUUUAUUUUUCUUACUGUUUGGUAUAAUAUUUUGCAUUUUGUACGAACCAGACAAAUUACUUUGUUCACUGUAAAAUAUAAGAGUGGCUACUCAAUUGUUA